UACGUAGGGUGCAAGCGUUAAUCGGAAUUACUGGGCGUAAAGCGUGCGCAGGCGGCGCGUUAAGACAGGUGUGAAAGCCCCGAGCUUAACUUGGGAAUUGCGCUCGAACGUACUGUGGCUCGGAGUGUGGCAGAGGAAGGUGGAAUUCCACGUGUAGCGGUGAAAUGCGUAGAGAUGUGGAGGAACACCGAUGGCGAAGGCAGCCCCUCGGCGCAACACUGACGCUCAGGCACGAAAGCGUGGGGAGCAAACAGG
rnacentral:rRNA from 1 species